rnacentral:sRNA from 1 species
AAGUAACUCCGGCAAUGUUCAAAAAAUUAAAAAAAAAAUAAUCAAAAAAUUUGAAACACGUUGUCGGAGUUAC